GGGUGAGUAACGCGUAAGGAACUUGCCUCUUGGUCUGGGACAACUGUUGGAAACGACAGCUAAUACCGGAUAUUAUGAGAUUCUCGCAUGGGAAACUUAUGAAAGCUAUAUGCGCCAAGAGAGAGCCUUGCGUUCCAUUAGCUAGUUGGUGGGGUAACGGCCCACCAAGGCGACGAUGGAUAGCCGGCCUGAGAGGGUGAACGGCCACAAGGGGACUGAGACACGGCCCUUACUCCUACGGGAGGCAGCAGUGGGGAAUAUUGGACAAUGGGCCACAAGCCUGAUCCAGCAAUUCUGUGUGCACGAUGAAGGUCUUCGGAUUGUAAAGUGCUUUCAGUUGGGAAGAAGAAAGUGACGGUACCAACAGAAGAAGCGACGGCUAAAUACGUGCCAGCAGCCGCGGUAAUACGUAUGUCGCAAGCGUUAUCCGGAUUUAUUGGGCGUAAAGCGCGUCUAGGCGGAAAAAUAAGUCUGAUGUUAAAAUGCGGGGCUCAACUCCGUAUUGCGUUGGAAACUGUUUUUCUAGAGUACUGGAGAGGUGGGCGGAACUACAAGUGUAGAGGUGAAAUUCGUAGAUAUUUGUAGGAAUGCCGAUGGA
rnacentral:rRNA from 1 species